UCCGAGUUGACCCCGGCAGUCUUCGAUGAGUCCCCGGCCGAACCGCUGGCAACAUCGAACGAGGGUUGCGCUCGUUGCGGGACUUAACCCAACAUCUCACGACACGAGCUGACGACAGCCAUGCACUACCUGUCUCCGGUCCAGCCGAACUGAAGGAGUCCGUCUCUGGUCUCCGCGACCGGGAUGUCAAGGGCUGGUAAGGUUCUUCGCGUUGCAUCGAAUUAAACCACAUGCUCCGCCGCUUGUGCGGGCCCCCGUCAAUUCCUUUGAGUUUCACCCUUGCGAGCGUACUCCCCAGGUGGAAUACUUAUCAGGUUUCCUACGGCACUGACCCUUGCGGGCCAACACCAAGUAUUCAUCGUUUAGGGCGUGGACUAC
rnacentral:misc_RNA from 1 species